rnacentral:rRNA from 1 species
AUUGAACGCUGGCGGCAUGCCUUACACAUGCAAGUCGAACGGUAACAGGUCUUCGGACGCUGACGAGUGGCGCACGGGUGAGUAAUACAUCGGAACGUGCCCGAUCGUGGGGGAUAACGAGGCGAAAGCUUUGCUAAUACCGCAUACGAUCUACGGAUGAAAGCGGGGGAUCUUCGGACCUCGCGCGGACGGAGCGGCCGAUGGCAGAUUAGGUAGUUGGUGGGAUAAAAGCUUACCAAGCCGACGAUCUGUAGCUGGUCUGGGAGGAUGAUCAGCCACACUGGGACUGAGACACGGCCCAGACUCCUACGGGAGGCAGCAGUGGGGAAUUUUGGACAAUGGGCGAAAGCCUGAUCCAGCCAUGCCGCGUGCAGGAUGAAGGCCUUCGGGUUGUAAACUGCUUUUGUACGGAACGAAAAGCCUCUUUCUAAUAAAGAGGGGUCAUGACGGUACCGUAAGAAUAAGCACCGGCUAACUACGUG